GAAACGAUGAACAAGACGAUACUCAAGGAAAAUUGUUGUAUGCGAACAUGGAUCAAACCGAGUGCUCAUGAGGAAGAGGUCGAGGACGAGGUGGAGGAAGAAGCAAUCAAAUCAAUCAAAAACAGACCAAAGAAAAGGAAGACAAGUCGAACGUGGUAUGUUAUCGGUGUGAUAAACCGGGUCAUUACGCGUCAGUUUUCCGGGAUAGAAAACAACACGUCCAAGAGGUGAACAAGGUCGAGACAGAAGAGGC
rnacentral:lncRNA from 1 species